AAUUCGCCCUUAGAGUUUGAUCAUGGCUCAGGAUGAACGCUAGCGGGAGGCCUAACACAUGCAAGCCGAGCGGUAGAAGUCCUUCGGGACUUUGAGAGCGGCGUACGGGUGCGUAACANGUGUGCAACCUGCCUUUAUCUGGGGGAUAGCCUUUCGAAAGGAAGAUUAAUACCCCAUAAUAUAAUGAUUGGCAUCAAUUAUUAUUGAAAACUCCGGUGGAUAGAGAUGGGCACGCGCNAGAUUAGAUNGUUGGUGAGGUAACGGCUCACCAAGUCCGAUGAUCUUUAGGGGUCCUGAGAGGGNAGAUCCCCCACACUGGGUACUGAGACACGGACNCAGACUCCUACGGGACGCAGC
rnacentral:rRNA from 1 species